GGUGAAUCCUCAGCAGGCUGCUGCUCGGACGCUUUAGGAGGAUCUGACAGAGAGAGUUUCUCCAGAGACACCGGACUCUCCUCACUGCAGGACACAGACAAACAGGAAGCUCACAGUUACUAGAGUGGACUGGUCAACAGAGGAGGAUUUACCACUCAGCAUCUGAGAGCGAGGCGAGGCAGCUCUGCUAAAAGAUGCAAACCUUUUGAGGUCAGCUGUCUUGUUGACGGGGGCGGCAACUGUUUCCGAGGCGAUGGCUGCGACGGGAGGAGCACCAGCAUUUUUGUCAUCCUCCUCGCUGUCGGAUCCCCCAGAGGAGCUGCUGUCUGAGGCCACGA